GAUGAACGCUGACAGAAUGCUUAACACAUCAGCAAUUGAUUGGUGGCGGACGGGUAAGUAACGCGUAAAGAACUUACCUCACAGUUAGGGACAACAUUUGGAAACGAAUGCUAAUACCUAAUACUGUGAGAGAGCUUUGCGUCCCAUUAGCUAGUUGGAGAGGUAACGGCUCACCAAGGCGAUGAUGGGUAGCCGGCCUGAGAGUGUGAUCGGCCACAAGGUGACUCGGACACGGCCCUUACUCCUACGGGAGGCAGGAGUGGGGAAUAUUGGACAAUGUACCAAAGUAUGAUCAAGCAAUUCUGUGUGCAAGAUGAAGUUUUCGGAAUGUAAAGUGCUUUCAGUUGGGAAGCGGUACCAACAGAAGAAGUGACGGCUAAAUACGUGCCAGCCGACGCGGUAAUUC
rnacentral:rRNA from 1 species